rnacentral:rRNA from 1 species
UACGAAGGGGGCUAGCGUUGCUCGGAAUCACUGGGCGUAAAGGGUGCGUAGGCGGGUCUUUAAGUCAGGGGUGAAAUCCUGGAGCUCAACUCCAGAACUGCCUUUGAUACUGAGGAUCUCGAGUCCGGGAGAGGUGAGUGGAACUCCGAGUGUAGAGGUGAAAUUCGUAGAUAUUCGGAAGAACACAAGUGGCGAAGGCGGCUCACUGGCCCGGUACUGACGCUGAUGUGCGAAAGCGUGGGGAGCAAACAGG